rnacentral:rRNA from 1 species
CUACGGGAUGCAGCAGUGAGGAAUUUUGCGCAAUGGGGGGAACCCUGACGCAGCAACGCCGCGUGAGUGAAGAAGGCCUUUGGGUCGUAAAGCUCUGUCAACUGGGAAGAAGUUAUUGAUAUUUAAUAGAUAUCGGUAUUGACGGUACCAGUGGAGGAAGCGCCGGCUAACUCCGUGCCAGCAGCCGCGGUAAUACGGGGGGCGCAAGCGUUAUUCGGAAUUAUUGGGCGUAAAGGGCGCGUAGGCGGUCUUGUCGGUCAGAUGUGAAAGCCCGGGGCUCAACCCCGGACGUGCAUUUGAAACAGCAAGACUUGAGUACGGGAGAGGAAAGCGGAAUUCCUGGUGUAGAGGUGAAAUUCGUAGAUAUCAGGAGGAACACCGAUGGCGAAGGCAGCUUUCUGGACCGAUACUGACGCUGAUGCGCGAAGGCGUGGGUAGCGAACAGGAUUAGAUACCCGGGUAGUC